GAUGAACGCUAGCUACAGGCUUAACACAUGCAAGUCGAGGGGUAACGAGAGGAAAGCUUGCUUUCCUUGUCGACGACCGGCGCACGGGUGAGUAACGCGUAUCCAACCUGCCCCCAACUAAGGAAUAACCUUGCGAAAGUAAGACUAAUACCUUAUAAUUUCCUCAGAUGUCAUCUGACGAGGAAUAAAGAUUUAUCGGUUGUGGAUGGGGAUGCGUCUGAUUAGCUUGUUGGCGGGGUAACGGCCCACCAAGGCGACGAUCAGUAGGGGUUCUUGGAGGAAGGUCCCCCACAUUGGAACUGAGACACGGUCCAAACUCCUACGGGAGGCAGCAGUGAGGAAUAUUGGUCAAUGGGCGGAAGCCUGAACCAGCCAAGUAGCGUGCAGGAUGACGGCCCUAUGGGUUGUAAACUGCUUUUAUACAGGAAUAAAGUUAGCCACGUGUGGUUAUUUGUAGGUACUGUAUGAAUAAGGACCGGCUAAUUCCGUGCCAGCCGCCGCCGUAA
rnacentral:rRNA from 1 species